GAUGAACGCUGGCGGCGUGCUUAACACAUGCAAGUCGAACGGAAAGGCCCAAGCUUGCUUGGGUACUCGAGUGGCGAACGGGUGAGUAACACGUGGGUGAUCUGCCCUGCACUUCGGGAUAAGCCUGGGAAACUGGGUCUAAUACCGGAUAGGACCACAUUUUGGAUGGUGUGGUGGAAAGUUUUUCGGUGUGGGAUGAGCUCGCGGCCUAUCAGCUUGUUGGUGGGGUAAUGGCCUACCAAGGCGUCGACGGGUAGCCGGCCUGAGAGGGUGUACGGCCACAUUGGGACUGAGAUACGGCCCAGGCUCCUACGGGAGGCAGCAGUGGGGAAUAUUGCACAAUGGGCGCAAGCCUGAUGCAGCGACGCCGCGUGGGGGAUGACGGCCUUCGGGUUGUAAACUCCUUUCGCUAGGGACGAAGCGCAAGUGACGGUACCUGGAGAAGAAGCACCGGCUAACUACGUG
rnacentral:rRNA from 1 species